rnacentral:rRNA from 1 species
GUCCUUUAGAAUUUAAUUUAAGGUUUAACCUGCCCACUGAGAUUAUUUGAAGGGCCGCAGUAAUUUGACUGUGCAAAGGUAGCAUAAUCAUUAGUUUUUUAAUUAAAAGCUUGUAUGAAGGGUUGGACGAGGUAAAUUCUGUCUCUAUUUAAAUUAAUAUAGAAUUUAAUUUUUAAGUUAAAAAGCUUAAAUUUUUUUAAAAGACGAGAAGACCCUAUAGAUCUUUAUAUUAAAUAUAUUAAUUUUAAUUAGGAAUAUUUUAUUUUUUAAUAUAUAUAAUAUUUUAUUGGGGUAAUAUAAAGAUUAAAUUAAUUCUUUUUUUUAUUUUUACAUUAAUUAAUGAUUAUUUGAUCCAAUUUUAUUGAUUAAAAGAUUAAGUUACCUUAGGGAUAACAGCGUAAUUUUUUUAGAGAGUUCAUAUCGAUAAAAAAGUUUGCGACCUCGAUGUUGGAUUAAAAAUUAUCUUAGGUGUAGUAGUUUAAGAUUUUGGUCUGUUCGACCAUUAAAUUUUUACAUGAUCUGAGUUCAGACCGGUGUAAGCCAGGUCGGUUUCUAUCUUUAAUAAAAUAUAAUAUUUUAGUACGAAAGGACCAAAUAUUUAAUAUAUUUAUAUUUAAAUUUUGAAUAU